GAUGAACGCUGGCGGCGUGCCUAAUACAUGCAAGUCGAGCGAACGGACGAGAAGCUUGCUUCUCUGAUGUUAGCGGCGGACGGGUGAGUAACACGUGGAUAACCUACCUAUAAGACUGGGAUAACUUCGGGAAACCGUAGCUAAUACCGGAUAAUAUUUUGAACCGCAUGGUUCAAAAGUGAAAGACGGUCUUGCUGUCACUUAUAGAUGGAUCCGCGCUGCAUUAGCUAGUUGGUAAGGUAACGGCUUACCAAGGCAACGAUGCAUAGCCGACCUAAGAGGGUGAUCGGCCACACUGGAACUGAGACACGGUCCAGACUCCUACGGGAGGCAGCAGUAGGGAAUCUUCCGCAAUGGGCGAAAGCCUGACGGAGCAACGCCGCGUGAGUGAUGAAGGUCUUCGGAUCGUAAAACUCUGUUAUUAGGGAAGAACAUAUGUGUAAGUAACUGUGCACAUCUUGACGGUACCUAAUCAGAAAGCCACGGCUAACUACGU
rnacentral:rRNA from 1 species